AGGUGCGAUCAUACUAGCACUAAUGCACCGGAUCCCAUCAAAACUCCACACUUAAGCGUGCUUGGGCGAGAGUAGUACGAGGAUGGGUGACCUCCUGGGAAGUCCUCGUGUCUCACCUC
rnacentral:rRNA from 2 species